UGGGGAAUUUUGGACAAUGGGCGAAAGCCUGAUCCAGCAAUGCCGCGUGUGUGAAGAAGGCCUUCGGGUUGUAAAGCACUUUUGUCCGGAAAGAAAUGGCUCUGGUUAAUACCUGGGGUCGAUGACGGUACCGGAAGAAUAAGGACCGGCUAACUACGUGCCAGCAGCCGCGGUAAUACGUAGGGUCCAAGCGUUAAUCGGAAUUACUGGGCGUAAAGCGUGCGCAGGCGGUUGUGCAAGACCGAUGUGAAAUCCCCGAGCUUAACUUGGGAAUUGCAUUGGUGACUGCACGGCUAGAGUGUGUCAGAGGGGGGUAGAAUUCCACGUGUAGCAGUGAAAUGCGUAGAGAUGUGGAGGAAUACCGAUGGCGAAGGCAGCCCCCUGGGAUAACACUGACGCUCAUGCACGAAAGCGUGGGGAGCAAACAGGAUUAGAUACCCUGGUAGUCCACGCCCUAAACGAUGUCAACUAGUUGUUGGGGAUUCAUUUCCUUAGUAACGUAGCUAACGCGUGAAGUUGACCGCCUGGGGAGUACGGUCGC
rnacentral:rRNA from 1 species